GAAACAAAACAAGAGUUUUGAAAAUGCGCGAUUUCGAAGUUUUACUUCUCGCUCUGGCUCUUGACACUGAAACUUCGACAAACUUUUGUGAAAACUGUUGUUGCUUGCGUGUUGGAAUAAUUUCUCAUUUCUAUUUCGGUUAGUUGUAAUAGUAUUUACCUGCCUUUAUUCGUUACAAUUUUUGGCGUUAUUAAUUUAUUUACUCCUACUGAAGCACGCACCGUGAACAACAUCGACAGCAUCUGCCACUUCAUCGUCGGGCAGAGAACGCCACCACUGUAGUGCCCACCCACUUCUCCUUUCAACUCUUCGGAAUCAUCCCAACAUUAUUGUCGCACUGGAUCUACCUAUAUGGUUUAAAUUUUUUUUAAAUACAACGACGGAAAACUACAUCUUCGCGGGCGGAAAGGCUAACCUUCAUAAAACCGGCCCGGACAAAGAUAUUUAACAACGAAGUGCGAGCGGAAGCGAAAUGACAAAUAUUCCGGUAAAACUACGUGGCAUCGUUGGAACCGGUAUUGUAAUAGUUGGUCAAGCGAGUGGUUAAGAGAAACAACGACCCGUCGAAACAAUCAACACACCCAUAUUGAACCUCAUACUUUGGCGGCUUUGGUUCUUCGCAAAGCUGAUUGCUGGCUGGUUCAAGGAAAUGAAAGUUCAAAUUGGACGAUGUGACGGUGCAGAAGCAGUCCGCAGAAUGCAUGUUUUCCACCAGCGGCAAAAAGAUGCUUCAAAGAUAAAAAUGAUCAUUCGUGAAACAAUUCUACGCUAGAUCAGUUAGAAGAAAGGCUCCAUCAUCUUCUUGGUCCGGAUCUCCAGUACGUCACCGAAAAGCUUGUCACAUAUUUCCAGUCUUCUCCCGACGGAAGAACCGUUCCCGUUAGAUUAUUUUGGCAUGGUUCAAGUUUCCUUUUCCUUGGUUCUGAUCCCGGAGGAGCCUUAUAAAUCGGGUCUUUACAUUUAUAUUGAACACAUUGCGUAUACGAACGAAAAUACGUUUCGUAAAACAUGUUUAUAAAAUAUCUAAUGAAUAAAAAUAUAAAUAAAACAGA